GCCGGAGUGGUGAAAUGGCAGACGCGCCGGACUCAAAAUCCGGUGAGAGCAAUCUCGUGCGGGUUCAACUCCCGCCUCCGGCACCA
rnacentral:tRNA from 1 species